rnacentral:rRNA from 1 species
CCUACGGGAGGCAGCAGUGGGGACUAUUGGGCAAUGGGCGAAAGUCUGACCCAGCAACGCCGCGUGAAUGAUGAAGGCUUUCGGGUUGUAAACUUCUUUUGAAAGGGACGAGCAGAGGACGGUUCCUGUAGAAUAAGCCCUGGCUAACUUCGUUCCAGCAGCCGCGGUUAUACGUAGGUGGCAAGCGUUGUCCGGAUUUAAGGGGUGGAAAGGGCGUGUAGCCGGGCUGACAAGUCAGUUGUGAAAUCCGGAGGCGCAAACCUGGAACUGCAUUUGAAACUGUUGGUCGUGAGUUUCGGAGAGGCAAGCGGAAUUCCUAGUGUAGCGGUGAAAUGCGUAGAUAUUAGGAGGAACACCAGGGGCGAAGGCGGCCUGCUGGACGACAACUGACGGUGAGGCGCGAAAGCGUGGGGAGCAAACAGGAUUAGAUACCCUUGUAGUC